GCCCGGGUGGCGAAAUUGGUAGACGCAGCAGACUCAAAAUCUGCCGGUGGCAACACCAUGCCGGUUCGAUUCCGGCCCCGGGCACCA
rnacentral:tRNA from 1 species